rnacentral:lncRNA from 1 species
UAAAAUCAUUAAUCGUUGCCCGCAUCGAAUGUCUGGUUAAUAUGGCAUAUAGUGGUCAUGUAGGAUAAUGACUAUUUUUUUUAUUUCUCUUAUUUUUCACUAAUAUUAAUAUCUGAUCCUACACUUUCAUGAUAAGUAAUCAAAUAAUUGUUUAAACCAUCUAUUCGAAAAUUGGGAUAAAAAACAAAAGCGACAAGGUAAAUAAGUGGAAUCAACUAAAAAAUACAUGAACAGUAGGAUAAUAAACACCAUACAAUGUAUAAGUAGCAUUAUUAAAAAUUUUUAAAAUUUCUGAAUUUUUGCACAAAUAGUCAGUCAUACAUUGUUUGCAAUAAAUAUACAUAAUAAUUUUUUUUUAUAUUUAAAAUUUUGUAUUAGACAAUUCAUAAGUUGAAUUCCAUCUAGUAGGAAUGACCACACAAAAUUUUAACGUCUUUUGCCAUUUAAUUUAUGAUUACAAGUGAUUAUAAAUAAUGAAUGGUCUAAAGUUGCGCUAAAAAAAAUGAUUUAAGCUACACCAGGGCAAUGCAUUAUUAUGAUCAUAAUAUUACCCCACCAUGGUUGUACGAAAGGAGGCUAUUAAUUAAUACUAAUCUUCUAUUGACAAGAAAAAUCAUGGAAGUUUUAACGAAACCAUUCCUAAAAUUCAUUCUCAUAGAAUACCAAUGACCAUAUAUGGCAGAUUAGUUUGAGCAAUUAAUUAUGUUUUUAUUUCCAUAUUUAUUAAUAGAUAUUUCUUGUAACAUUUUAUAAAAUUGGAGUUAUUUCUUGACAUAAAUAUAGUAUUAUUCUAAGUGAAAAAUAAUAAGAUGAUGUAUUUAAUGUAUUUAAAGCUAAAUAAAAUAGUUGAUGCAUUUUCAUAUGUUACAAGAAUAGUACAUACACAUCAGAUAUUUAAGAUAAAUCAGAAAAAACAUGUCAUUUGAAUCAAUAACAUGGAAUUAGAGUCUUGUUUAUCAUAAUAUUAUAUUGUUGAUAAGGAAUUACAGGCAUGAAUGAAGAAUAUGAAGUUAACAUUUUGUUUACCAUGAUCUUAUAUUGUUGACAAGGAAUUGCGAUGAGACAAUUGGGGAAAAGAAAAAUCAUUUAUGAAGUCUAACAAAAGUUAAUGAUAACAGUAUAUUCUAUAUUUUAGAUUCUAGGGCCCACAUUGAUCCAUGACCUAUGUGAUAUGUGAUGGUUUAUAUCGACAUAAUGACACCAAGCGUUUGCAUGCCACAUGUACAAAAAUUAAGAUCAUAAGAGAGAGAGAGAGAGAGAGAGAGAGAGAGAGAGAGAGANNNNNNNNNNNNNNNNNNNNAGAGAGAGAGAGAUAUGGAUGAAACAUUAAACUUUUGACAAACUUUGAUAAUGACAAGUUACAUAAAAUAGGUGUAAUCAAAUAGUUAGUUAGAUUUAUAAAAGGUAAAAGAUAGAGAAAAAGAAAAUGAUUAUCAAUAUCUCAACUAUCCCAAUAACUUGAUGAGCUCAGAAAAGCAUGAAAAGAGAAUAUUUAGAUCUGAAUUGAUGAUAGUAAAUUCAUCGAAUUGUAUAUACAAUUACAUUCAUUGAAUUCUAUAUACAAUUACAUUCAUUGAAUUCUAUAUACAAUUACAUUCAUUGAAUUCUAUAUACAAUUACAUUCAUCCUCUCAUUUCUAAUGUAAGAUUUACUGUGGAAUUGAAUAAGGAAGUAGAGACACUUGAAACCGUCAACUAUAAGCUUUUUUUUUUUUUUCUUUUAGCUAAUAGCCCUUUCAAAACCCUCAAUUUUAGUUUCUUUGUUUGGGACAAAAGCUUUGAAUCAUUAUUAUCCUUUGGAUACGUUUGGACAUGUUGACGAGGUUAGUUUAGAAGGGGUAAUCCAAUUUUGCUCUCCCUUUUCAUUUAUGUUAUUCAAUUGAAGAAAUAUGAAAUCAUAUGCUUAUCUUUAUUCUUAACAAAAUGAUUCCCUUUGACUAUCUAUAAUAUAUAACAACCUUUUUAAUCUGAAUUUGUUUUAAAAUUAUGUGUUUCCAAAAUUUUCUUAGGCCAUAUUUUUCUAAAGAAGUUACUUGUACUCUCAUUAGAAAGAGGGGGGAGAUCACAUUUGUUAACGUUGUUGGGGUUAACAAAAUCAAAUGCUAUCAAACUACUUAUAAAUUUCAACUUAUAUCUUUCUAAAAUUUCCCUUCAAAAUAAAGUCUUAAAACUUUUUUUUCUUAACUUUUAUAUACCAUAUAAUUGUAGAUUUUUUCGAAGUUCAUAUAAAUUGCAC